GACGAACGCUGGCGGCGUGCUUAACACAUGCAAGUCGAACGGAAAGGCCCUGCUUUUGUGGGGUGCUCGAGUGGCGAACGGGUGAGUAACACGUGAGUAACCUGCCCUUGACUUUGGGAUAACUUCAGGAAACUGGGGCUAAUACCGGAUAGGAGCUCCUGCUGCAUGGUGGGGGUUGGAAAGUUUCGGCGGUUGGGGAUGGACUCGCGGCUUAUCAGCUUGUUGGUGGGGUAGUGGCUUACCAAGGCUUUGACGGGUAGCCGGCCUGAGAGGGUGACCGGCCACAUUGGGACUGAGAUACGGCCCAGACUCCUACGGGAGGCAGCAGUGGGGAAUAUUGCACAAUGGGCGGAAGCCUGAUGCAGCAACGCCGCGUGCGGGAUGACGGCCUUCGGGUUGUAAACCGCUUUCGCCUGUGACGAAGCGUGAGUGACGGUAAUGGGUAAAGAAGCACCGGCUAACUACGUGCCAGCAGCCGCGGUGAUACGUAGGGUGCGAGCGUUGUCCGGAUUUAUUGGGCGUAAAGGGCUCGUAGGUGGUUGAUCGCGUCGGAAGUGUAAUCUUGGGGCUUAACCCUGAGCGUGCUUUCGAUACGGGUUGACUUGAGGAAGGUAGGGGAGAAUGGAAUUCCUGGUGGAGCGGUGGAAUGCGCAGAUAUCAGGAGGAACACCAGUGGCGAAGGCGGUUCUCUGGGCCUUUCCUGACGCUGAGGAGCGAAAGCGUGGGGAGCGAACAGGCUUAGAUACCCUGGUAGUCCACGCUGUAAACGGUGGGUACUAGGUGUGGGGUCCAUUCCACGGGUUCCGUGCCGUAGCUAACGCUUUAAGUACCCCGCCUGGGGAGUACGGCCGCAAGGCUAAAACUCAAAGGAAUUGACGGGGCCCCGCACAAGCGGCGGAGCAUGCGGAUUAAUUCGAUGCAACGCGUAGAACCUUACCUGGGUUUGACAUGGAUCGGGAGUGCUCAGAGAUGGGUGUGCCUCUUUUGGGGUCGGUUCACAGGUGGUGCAUGCCUGUCGUCAGCUCGUGUCGUGAGAUGUUGGGUUAAGUCCCGCAACGAGCGCAACCCUUGUACACUGUUGCCAGCACGUUAUGGUGGGGACUCAGUGGAGACCGCCGGGGUCAACUCGGAGGAAGGUGGGGAUGACGUCAAGUCCUCAUGCCCCUUAUGUCCAGGGCUUCACGCAUGCUACAAUGGCUGGUACAGAGAGUGGCGAGCCUGUGAGGGUGAGCGAAUCUCGGAAAGCCGGUCUCAGUUCGGAUUGGGGUCUGCAACUCGACCUCAUGAAGUCGGAGUCGCUAGUGAUCGCAGAUCAGCAACGCUGCGGUGAAUACGUUCCCGGGGCU
rnacentral:rRNA from 1 species